rnacentral:misc_RNA from 1 species
AGAACUGAAACAAGAAAUUGCAAACCAAAACAAACAAGCCCUUAGCGGCUUACAUCUCUGUUCGGAUAAAGAGACACGUGCAGCGUUUCCUUUAUUCCACUACUAUAUAUUAUAGUACUAACGCCUGCACCUGAUCAGGAACAGAGAUGGCUGAUUUUGACUUAAAUUGCUAGGACUAGACCCGGCACUGACUUCCCGAACUGACUGGAGAGUCUGCUCUCCCAAAUGGACGGGCAAUGCACGGGAGUUAUCUCCGCCGAUGAAGAUGAAGAUGAUGAAGACGGAGAUGAACAAUCAGAUGACUCAGAUUCUUGGUUACCAAGACGAGUAACAGUCAGUGAAGUGUUGAAGUACUCUCUGACUUGCGUAAUUAUCCCAUCCGUGACUGUCCACGCGUGAACCCAAGAAAUGGAGCGGCUAGAAUCGCACCCUUCAGCAAUCACGAUCGACCCGAAGGACCUGAUGAAUUCAGGGUUGAACUCAAACGUACCAGUAGAGGAGC